rnacentral:misc_RNA from 1 species
GCAGUUAAUUUCAACUUAAUCAACCUCUAAUAGGAAAAGAAAAAAAAAACAAAAAUAUAUAACAAUACUACAGCAAGUGCUAUGCACGCAUUCAAGCCAAGGGAAGAAAUUUGGGUUCAAAUCAAACACAUAACAAAAAUAUUUUAAAAAUAAAAAAAUGAAAAAAAAGGGAGAGUAUAAUAAUAAUAAAACAAAUCUCAAAAAAGCACAACUGCUUUACUCACUAGUGAUUGGAUUUACUGUUAUCUGAGGACGAUGUCGUUUGCUUUUUAUACUUGACAACGUAGAUGAUAGCGGAAGCCACCAGCAGCGCCGCACCUGUGAUCCCACACGCGAGGCUGGCCACGAAAAGCACGUGCCUCAACCGAUCUCCACCUUUACCGCCGGCAUUUCCACCUUUAACACCGCUCCACCACGUCGUGUCGUUAGAAUUCAUUGCUUUCGGCAAUGCAACGUUGGAUGAUUUCGAAGUUGGCGACGAUGAAGCUCCGAAGAAUUCCUUCAUUUCCGGCGGCAUUUUCUGCCCCGCAGGUGGCGCGCUCUGGUAGUCCAGCCCGUGGUAGGACGGCCGUAAUUCCCUGGCUCUACAGUCUCCAACAAUCAUGAUCAUGAUCGCGAUCAGCGGCAAAUACGAAACCAUUUCGACCUCUCAGAGGAACAGGAAAACGAUGUCGUUUCUUCUCUCUGUGUCUCACACCUACAGGUGCGUACUAUUUAUAUAGCUUUGAUGGUUUUGAACUUGAUCCAGAAGGAGCAAGCAAGUAACCGUUGCUUCGUCUCCUUGGGAUUUUAACGUCGGUUGAUAAAGAAAACGGUGGCGUUUUGGUGUCUGGUCUAGCCUUGAGUCUCUUGACUGAUACAGUAGAAAGAGAGAGGCGAUGAUAAGAGUGAUUUAUUAUUGUCGGGAAGGAGCUUCACAAGAAUUCCACUCCUUGCCGCUUGUUUUCUUUGUCUGCCAUGCUAUGCUAUGC